rnacentral:rRNA from 1 species
AGGUGAUAUGAACCGUUAUAACCGGCGAUUUCCGAAUGGGGAAACCCAGUGUGUUUCGACACACUAUCAUUAACUGAAUCCAUAGGUUAAUGAGGCGAACCGGGGGAACUGAAACAUCUAAGUACCCCGAGGAAAAGAAAUCAACCGAGAUUCCCCCAGUAGCGGCGAGCGAACGGGGAGCAGCCCAGAGCCUGAAUCAGUGUGUGUGUUAGUGGAAGCGUCUGGAAAGGCGCGCGAUACAGGGUGACAGCCCCGUACACAAAAAUGCACAUACUGUGAGCUCGAUGAGUAGGGCGGGACACGUGGUAUCCUGUCUGAAUAUGGGGGGACCAUCCUCCAAGGCUAAAUACUCCUGACUGACCGAUAGUGAACCAGUACCGUGAGGGAAAGGCGAAAAGAACCCCGGCGAGGGGAGUGAAAAAGAACCUGAAACCGUGUACGUACAAGCAGUGGGAGCCUCUUAAUGGGGUGACUGCGUACCUUUUGUAUAAUGGGUCAGCGACUUAUAUUCUGUAGCAAGGUUAACCGAAUAGGGGAGCCGAAGGGAAACCGAGUCUUAACUGGGCGUUAAGUUGCAGGGUAUAGACCCGAAACCCGGUGAUCUAGCCAUGGGCAGGUUGAAGGUUGGGUAACACUAACUGGAGGACCGAACCGACUAAUGUUGAAAAAUUAGCGGAUGACUUGUGGCUGGGGGUGAAAGGCCAAUCAAACCGGGAGAUAGCUGGUUCUCCCCGAAAGCUAUUUAGGUAGCGCCUCGUGAAUUCAUCUCCGGGGGUAGAGCACUGUUUCGGCAAGGGGGUCAUCCCGACUUACCAACCCGAUGCAAACUGCGAAUACCGGAGAAUGUUAUCACGGGAGACACACGGCGGGUGCUAACGUCCGUCGUGAAGAGGGAAACAACCCAGACCGCCAGCUAAGGUCCCAAAGUCAUGGUUAAGUGGGAAACGAUGUGGGAAGGCCCAGACAGCCAGGAUGUUGGCUUAGAAGCAGCCAUCAUUUAAAGAAAGCGUAAUAGCUCACUGGUCGAGUCGGCCUGCGCGGAAGAUGUAACGGGGCUAAACCAUGCACCGAAGCUGCGGCAGCGACACUAUGUGUUGUUGGGUAGGGGAGCGUUCUGUAAGCCUGUGAAGGUGUACUGUGAGGUAUGCUGGAGGUAUCAGAAGUGCGAAUGCUGACAUAAGUAACGAUAAAGCGGGUGAAAAGCCCGCUCGCCGGAAGACCAAGGGUUCCUGUCCAACGUUAAUCGGGGCAGGGUGAGUCGACCCCUAAGGCGAGGCCGAAAGGCGUAGUCGAUGGGAAACAGGUUAAUAUUCCUGUACUUGGUGUUACUGCGAAGGGGGGACGGAGAAGGCUAUGUUGGCCGGGCGACGGUUGUCCCGGUUUAAGCGUGUAGGCUGGUUUUCCAGGCAAAUCCGGAAAAUCAAGGCUGAGGCGUGAUGACGAGGCACUACGGUGCUGAAGCAACAAAUGCCCUGCUUCCAGGAAAAGCCUCUAAGCAUCAGGUAACAUCAAAUCGUACCCCAAACCGACACAGGUGGUCAGGUAGAGAAUACCAAGGCGCUUGAGAGAACUCGGGUGAAGGAACUAGGCAAAAUGGUGCCGUAACUUCGGGAGAAGGCACGCUGAUAUGUAGGUGAAGUCCCUUGCGGAUGGAGCUGAAAUCAGUCGAAGAUACCAGCUGGCUGCAACUGUUUAUUAAAAACACAGCACUGUGCAAACACGAAAGUGGACGUAUACGGUGUGACGCCUGCCCGGUGCCGGAAGGUUAAUUGAUGGGGUUAGCGGUAACGCGAAGCUCUUGAUCGAAGCCCCGGUAAACGGCGGCCGUAACUAUAACGGUCCUAAGGUAGCGAAAUUCCUUGUCGGGUAAGUUCCGACCUGCACGAAUGGCGUAAUGAUGGCCAGGCUGUCUCCACCCGAGACUCAGUGAAAUUGAACUCGCUGUGAAGAUGCAGUGUACCCGCGGCAAGACGGAAAGACCCCGUGAACCUUUACUAUAGCUUGACACUGAACAUUGAGCCUUGAUGUGUAGGAUAGGUGGGAGGCUUUGAAGUGUGGACGCCAGUCUGCAUGGAGCCGGCCUUGAAAUACCACCCUUUAAUGUUUGAUGUUCUAACGUUGGCCCCUGAUCGGGGUUGCGGACAGUGUCUGGUGGGUAGUUUGACUGGGGCGGUCUCCUCCUAAAGAGUAACGGAGGAGCACGAAGGUUGGCUAAUCCUGGUCGGACAUCAGGAGGUUAGUGCAAUGGCAUAAGCCAGCUUGACUGCGAGCGUGACGGCGCGAGCAGGUGCGAAAGCAGGUCAUAGUGAUCCGGUGGUUCUGAAUGGAAGGGCCAUCGCUCAACGGAUAAAAGGUACUCCGGGGAUAACAGGCUGAUACCGCCCAAGAGUUCAUAUCGACGGCGGUGUUUGGCACCUCGAUGUCGGCUCAUCACAUCCUGGGGCUGAAGUAGGUCCCAAGGGUAUGGCUGUUCGCCAUUUAAAGUGGUACGCGAGCUGGGUUUAGAACGUCGUGAGACAGUUCGGUCCCUAUCUGCCGUGGGCGCUGGAGAACUGAGGGGGGCUGCUCCUAGUACGAGAGGACCGGAGUGGACGCAUCACUGGUGUUCGGGUUGUCAUGCCAAUGGCACUGCCCGGUAGCUAAAUGCGGAAGAGAUAAGUGCUGAAAGCAUCUAAGCACGAAACUUGCCCCGAGAUGAGUUCUCCCUGACUCCUUGAGAGUCCUGAAGGAACGUUGAAGACGACGACGUUGAUAGGCCGGGUGUGUAAGCGCAGCGAUGCGUUGAGCUAACCGGUACUAAUGAACCGUGAGGCUUAACCUUACAACGCCGAAG